AGAGUUUGAUCAUGGCUCAGGACGAACGCUGGCGGCGUGCUUAACACAUGCAAGUCGAACGGUGAUCUUGAGAGCUUGCUCUUGGGUGAUCAGUGGCGAACGGGUGAGUAACACGUGAGCAACCUGCCCCAGACUCUGGAAUAACCCCGGGAAACCGGAGCUAAUACCGGAUACGACACUGGCCCGCAUGGGUAUGGUGUGGAAAGUUUUUCGGUCUGGGAUGGGCUCGCGGCCUAUCAGCUUGUUGGUGAGGUAGUGGCUCACCAAGGCGACGACGGGUAGCCGGCCUGAGAGGGCGACCGGCCACACUGGGACUGAGACACGGCCCAGACUCCUACGGGAGGCAGCAGUGGGGAAUAUUGCACAAUGGGCGCAAGCCUGAUGCAGCGACGCCGCGUGAGGGAUGACGGCCUUCGGGUUGUAAACCUCUUUCAGCAGGGAAGAAGCGCAAGUGACGGUACCUGCAGAAGAAGCACCGGCUAACUACGUGCCAGCAGCCGCGGUAAUAC
rnacentral:rRNA from 1 species